rnacentral:rRNA from 1 species
UACGGGGGGAGCAAGCGUUGUUCGGAUUUACUGGGCGUAAAGGGCGCGUAGGCGGCCAGCACAAGUCAGUUGUGAAAUCUCCGAGCUUAACUCGGAAAGGUCAACUGAUACUGUGCGGCUAGAGUGCGGAAGGGGCAACUGGAAUUCUUGGUGUAGCGGUGAAAUGCGUAGAUAUCAAGAGGAACACCUGCGGCGAAGGCGGCUUCCUGGCCUGUUCUUGACGCUGAGGCGCGAAAGCUAGGGGAGCAAACGGG